rnacentral:rRNA from 1 species
UACCAGCUCUCCGAGUGGUAGGGAUGAUUAUUGGGCUUAAAGCGUCCGUAGCCGGCUUAGCAAGUUUCCUGUUAAACUCAGCGACUCAAUCGUUGAAUCGCGGGAAAUACUACUAGGCUAGGAGGCGGGAGAGGUCGACGGUACUUCUGGGGUAGGGGUGAAAUCCUAUAAUCCCGGGAGGACCACCAGUGGCGAAGGCUGUCGACUAGAACGCGCUCGACGGUGAGGGACGAAAGCUGGGGGAGCGAACCGGAUUAGAUACCCGGGUAGUCCCAGCCGUAAACGAUGCGAGCUAGGUGUUGGGAUGGCUACGUGCCAUUUCAGUGCCGCAGGGAAGCCAUUAAGCUCGCCGCCUGGGGAGUACGGCCGCAAGGCUGAAACUUAAAGGAAUUGGCGGGGGAACACCACAAGGCGUGAAGCUUGCGGUUC